AAUGAAUUAAGAGGCAACUCUUAACUGGCCAUCUGGGGAAAAACCGAGAGGUUCAAGCUCAGAGGGCAGAAAGUUGGGAAAAGCAGUUCUAAACAUUCUCGGCGAACAUGGGUGCAUAGUAGAACUAUAA
rnacentral:sRNA from 1 species